rnacentral:misc_RNA from 1 species
UCCGGCUUAACGCCGGCAGUCUCCCUAGAGUGCCCAACUUAAUGGUGGCAACUAAGGACGAGGGUUGCGCUCGUUGCGGGACUUAACCCAACACCUCACGGCACGAGCUGACGACAGCCACGCACCACCUGUACACCGACCCAAAAGGCACACCCAUCUCUGAGCGCUUCCGGCAUAUGUCAAGCCUUGGUAAGGUUCUUCGCGUUGCGUCGAAUUAAGCCACAUGCUCCGCCGCUUGUGCGGGCCCCCGUCAAUUCCUUUGAGUUUUAGCCUUGCGGCCGUACUCCCCAGGCGGGGAACUUAAUGCGUUAGCUGCGGCACCGACGACGUGGAAUGUCGCCAACACCUAGUUCCCACAGUUUACGGCGUGGACUAC